GGCCCCACGCGCCUCCAAGGGAGCUCGGCAGGCCUCCGGGGCGCCGUGCGGAGCUGGGCCGUUGCCGCGACCUAGCCCCGCUCAGCGCCACCCGGGCUCCAGAGUCCCCUUUUCUGAAGCCAGCCUUGGGGAGGGCAGUCAUCCCAGGAGGGGGGACACGGCAUUGGAGCAUGCACAAAAAUACCUGGGGGCAGAUCGUGCUGGUGGAUGUUUGGUGGCCAGGCAUCGAGGGAGCAGAAGCUCACAGGCUGAUCGCAUAGGGCAGCUGGCAGGGCAUGCACAAGAAGCAAUCCAGGUCUUAAAGCCUGAACUCCGCUACCAGGGUGUUACGGUGAAACGACAUCUGUAAAGUAAUCUUUCGUCCGCGCCCGAGGGUCUCUGAGCGCGGAAGGAGGCGCUGACUGCAAAUGGCUUGGAGCAAAAAGACGCCGGCGACUUACCGCCCAGCUCAGGGGCACGACUCGCCGCUCUGCUUCCGCCGCGGUCUGACGCCCUGACCGCCCGCGCAGCCG